AGAGUUUGAUCCUGGCUCAGAUUGAACGCUGGCGGCAGGCCUAACACAUGCAAGUCGAGCGGUAGAGAGAAGCUUGCUUCUCUUGAGAGCGGCGGACGGGUGAGUAAUGCCUAGGAAUCUGCCUGGUAGUGGGGGAUAACGUUCGGAAACGGACGCCAAUACCGCAUACGUCCUACGGGAGAAAGCAGGGGACCUUCGGGCCUUGCGCUAUCAGAUGAGCCUAGGUCGGAUUAGCUAGUUGGUGGGGUAAUGGCUCACCAAGGCGACGAUCCGUAACUGGUCUGAGAGGAUGAUCAGUCACACUGGAACUGAGACACGGUCCAGACUCCUACGGGAGGCAGCAGUGGGGAAUAUUGGACAAUGGGCGAAAGCCUGAUCCAGCCAUGCCGCGUGUGUGAAGAAGGUCUUCGGAUUGUAAAGCACUUUAAGUUGGGAGGAAGGGUUGUAGAUUAAUACUCUGCAAUUUUGACGUUACCGACAGAAUAAGCACCGGCUAACUCUGUGCCAGCAGCCGCGGUAAUACAGAGGGUGCAAGCGUUAAUCGGAAUUACUGGGCGUAAAGCGCGCGUAGGUGGUUAGUUAAGUUGGAUGUGAAAUCCCCGGGCUCAACCUGGGAACUGCAUUCAAAACUGACUGACUAGAGUAUGGUAGAGGGUGGUGGAAUUUCCUGUAUAGCGGUGAAAUGCGUAGAUAUAGGAAGGAACACCAGUGGCGAAGGCGACCACCUGGACUGAUACUGACACUGGGGUGCGAAAGCGUGGGGAGCAAACAGGACUAGAUACCCUGGUAGUCCACGCCGUAAACGAUGUCAACUAGCCGUUGGGAGCCUUGAGCUCUUAGUGGCGCAGCUAACGCAUUAAGUUGACCGCCUGGGGAGUACGGCCGCAAGGUUAAAACUCAAAUGAAUUGACGGGGGCCCGCACAAGCGGUGGAGCAUGUGGUUUAAUUCGAAGCAACGCGAAGAACCUUACCAGGCCUUGACAUCCAAUGAACUUUCUAGAGAUAGAUGGGUGCCUUCGGGAACAUUGAGACAGGUGCUGCAUGGCUGUCGUCAGCUCGUGUCGUGAGAUGUUGGGUUAAGUCCCGUAACGAGCGCAACCCUUGUCCUUAGUUACCAGCACGUUAUGGUGGGCACUCUAAGGAGACUGCCGGUGACAAACCGGAGGAAGGUGGGGAUGACGCCAAGUCAUCAUGGCCCUUACGGCCUGGGCUACACACGUGCUACAAUGGUCGGUACAGAGGGUUGCCAAGCCGCGAGGUGGAGCUAAUCCCAUAAAACCGAUCGUAGUCCGGAUCGCAGUCUGCAACUCGACUGCGUGAAGUCGGAAUCGCUAGUAAUCGCGAAUCAGAAUGUCGCGGUGAAUACGUUCCCGGGCCUUGUACACACCGCCCGUC
rnacentral:rRNA from 1 species